GAUGAACGCCGGCGGCGUGCCUAAUACAUGCAAGUCGAGCGAAUGGAUUAAGAGCCUGCUCUUAUGAAGUUAGCGGCGGACGGGUGAGUAACACGUGGGUAACCUGCCCAUAAGACUGGGAUAACUCCGGGAAACCGGGGCUAAUACCGGAUAACAUUUUGAACCGCAUGGUUCGAAAUUGAAAGGCGGCUUCGGCUGUCACUUAUGGAUGGACCCGCGUCGCAUUAGCUAGUUGGUGAGGUAACGGCCCACCAAGGCAACGAUGCGUAGCCGACCUGAGAGAGUGCUCGGCCACACUGGAACUGAGACACGGCCCAGACUCCUACGGGAGGCAGCAGUAGGGAAUCUUCCGCAAUGGACGAAAGUCUGACGGAGCAACGCCGCGUGAGUGAUGAAGGCUUUCGGGUCGUAAAACUCUGUUGUUAGGGAAAAACAAGUGCUAGUUGAAUAAGCUGGCACCUUGACGGUACCUAACCAGAAAGCCACGGCUAACUACGUGCCAGCCGCCGCAGUAA
rnacentral:rRNA from 1 species